rnacentral:rRNA from 1 species
AGAAGAUGGUAAGGGCAAACGGUGGAUGCCUUGGCACAAGAAGCCGAUGAAGGACGUGAUAAGCUGCGAUAAGCCACGGUAAGGAGCACAUAUCCUGUGACCCGUGGAUUUCCGAAUGGGUAAACCCACCAAGAGUCAUUUCUUGGUACUUCCUGCUGAAUAUAUAGGCAGGAUAGAGGUAACCGGGGGAACUGAAACAUCUAAGUACCCCGAGGAAGAGAAAUCAAACGAGAUUCCCCUAGUAGUGGCGAGCGAACGGGGAUAUAGGACAAACCGUCAGUUGCGCAAGCGCUGGCGGGGUUGUAGGACCAUUCAUUGUGGAGUUACAAAACUUCGUGGAAGCAGAAUAGCUUGGAAAAGCUGGCGAGACAGGGUAAAAGCCCCGUACGCGAAUCUGCGAAGACUCCCGAGUGGCACCUGAGUACUGCCGGACACGUGAAACCCGGUGGGAACCUGGGGGGUCCACCCUCCAAUCCUAAAUACUCUCUUGUGACCGAUAGUGAACCAGUACCGUGAGGGAAAGGUGAAAAGUACCCCGACAAGGGGAGUGAAAUAGUACCUGAAACCGUUUGCCUACAAGCAGUCGGAGCAGACUUUUGUCUGUGACGGCGUGCCUUUUGUAGAAUGAGCCAGCGAGUUACGGCAUGUGGCAAGGUUAAGCUAAAAAGCGAGCCGCAGCGAAAGCGAGUCUGAAUAGGGCGAGUGAGUCGCAUACCGUAGACGCGAAGCCAGGUGAGCUAUCCAUGAGCAGGCUGAAGCGGGGGUAAGACCCCGUGGAGGGCCGAACCCACUUAGGUUGAAAACUGAGGGGAUGACUUGUGGAUAGGAGUGAAAGGCCUAUCAAACCUGGAGAUAUCUCGUUCUCCCCGAAAUAGCUUUAGGGCUAGCCUCGGAUGUUUACCCGUGGGGGUAGAGCACUGAAUAGUUGCGGGGGCUUCACCGCCUACCAAGAUUAAUCAAACUCCGAAUACCAUAGGGUCUAAAUCCGGGAGUCAGAAUAUGUGGGCUAAGCUGUGUAUUCGAAAGGGAAACAGCCCAGACCGCCCGCUAAGGUCCCAAAAUCAAUGCUAAGUGGCAAAGGAUGUGCGUUUGCUCAGACAACCAGGAUGUUGGCUUAGAAGCAGCCAUUCAUUUAAAGAGUGCGUAAUAGCUCACUGGUCGAGUGGACAUGCGCCGACAAUAUACGGGGCUAAGCAUUGUACCGAAGCGGCGGAUCAGUACUUUGUACUGGUGGUAGGAGAGCUUUCUGUACGGGUUGAAGCAGUUGGAUAACCAACUGUGGACUGUCCAGAAGUGAGAAUGCUGGCAUGAGUAACGAGAGACAUGUAAAAAACAUGUCCGCCGUAAACCCAAGGUUUCCUGGGCAAGGCUAAUCCUCCCAGGGUUAGGCGGGAGCUAAGGCAAGGCCGGAAGGCGUAGUCGAUGCACAACAGGUAGAUAUUCCUGUCCCUCCAUAUAGGCGCUAUACCGAUGGGGUGACGAAGAAGGGUAGCUCGGCGGGGUUCUGGACGUCCCCGUGAUAACACGUAGGUUGAGAAGUUGUAAAAUGCGCUUCUCAUAAGCUGAGGUGUUGGACGAAGCAAUUGAGUGAAGUGAGUGAGCCCAUACUUCCAAGAAAAACCUCUAGGGAGUCUGUUGGAGCCCGUACCAAAACCGACACAGGUAGGUGGGUAGAGCAUACCAAGGCGAUCGGGAGAACUAUGGUUAAGGAACUCGGCAAAAUUGCCCCGUAACUUCGGGAGAAGGGGUGCCGGUUUCGGUGAAGGGAUUUACUCCCCGAGCUAAGAUCGGUCACAGUAAAUAGGUCCAAGCGACUGUUUAUCAAAAACACAGGACUCUGCUGAAGUCGUAAGACGACGUAUAGGGUCUGACGCCUGCCCGGUGCCGGAAGGUCACGAGGAGUUGUUAGCAUUAGCGAAGCAGCGAAUCUAAGCCCCGGUAAACGGCGGCCGUAACUAUAACGGUCCUAAGGUAGCGAAAUUCCUUGUCGGGU